GACGAACGCUGGCGGCGUGCUUAACACAUGCAAGUCGAACGAUGAAGCUGGAGCUUGCUCCGGUGGAUUAGUGGCGAACGGGUGAGUAACACGUGAGCAAUCUGCCCUUGACUCUGGGUUAACUGCGGGAAACUGUAGCUAAUACCGGAUAUGAGGCUUGGAGGCAUCUCCAGGUCUGGAAAGAAUUUCGGUCAAGGAUGAGCUCGCGGCCUAUCAGCUAGUUGGUGAGGUAAUGGCUCACCAAGGCGACGACGGGUAGCCGGCCUGAGAGGGUGACCGGCCACACUGGGACUGAGACACGGCCCAGACUCCUACGGGAGGCAGCAGUGGGGAAUAUUGCACAAUGGGCGAAAGCCUGAUGCAGCAGCACCGCGUGAGGGAUGAAGGCCUUAGGGUUGUAAACCUCUUUUAGCAGGGAAGAAGCGAAAGUGACGGUACCUGCAGAAAAAGCACCGGCUAACUACGUGCCAGCCGCCGCAGUAA
rnacentral:rRNA from 1 species